GUAUGUGACAUCUGCGGCGUAACAGAGGAGAGCGAAUACCAUGCGGUGGUGUCAUGUACUAAGAGCAGAGCACUCCGUCAAGAGAUGCGAACACAUUGGAAGUUACCAAAGGAGAAAGCAUUUUGGUAUACUGGUCAGGAUUGGCUUCAAAGUCUUCUGAAUGCUUGUGAAGUAGACGAACGAAACAAAAUCUUACUGCUACUAUGGCGUGCUUGGUUCCUCCGAGAUAAUAUAAUUCAUGGGAAUGGAAAGGAAUCG
rnacentral:rRNA from 1 species